AGUCAAGUAAUUAAGUGCAUGUGGUGGAUGCCUUGGCAGUCAGAGGCGAUGAAAGACGUGAUAGCCUGCGAAAAGCUCCGGGGAGGCGGCAAAUAUCCUUUGAUCCGGAGAUGUCUGAAUGGGGGAACCCACCUACUUUAAGGUAGGUAUUGCAACAUGAAUACAUAGUGUUGCAAGGCGAACGAGGGGAAGUGAAACAUCUCAGUACCCUUAGGAAAAGAAAUCAAUUGAGAUUCCCUCAGUAGCGGCGAGCGAACGGGGAUCAGCCCAUUAAGUUAUGUGUGUUUUAGUGGAACGCUCUGGGAAGUGCGAACGUAGAGGGUGAUAUUCCCGUACACGAAAGGGCACACAUAAUGAUGACGAGUAGGGCGAGGCACGUGAAACCUUGUCUGAAUAUGGGGGGACCAUCCUCCAAGGCUAAAUACUCCUGACUGACCGAUAGUGAACCAGUACCGUGAGGGAAAGGCGAAAAGAACCCCUGUGAGGGGAGUGAAAUAGAUCCUGAAACCGCAUGCAUACAAGCAGUGGGAGCACCUUCGUGGUGUGACUGCGUACCUUUUGUAUAAUGGGUCAGCGACUUAUAUUCAGUAGCGAGGUUAACCGUAUAGGGGAGCCGUAGAGAAAUCGAGUCUUAAUAGGGCGUUUAGUUGCUGGGUAUAGACCCGAAACCAGGCGAUCUAUCCAUGAGCAGGUUGAAGGUUGGGUAACACUAACUGGAGGACCGAACCCACUGUCGUUGAAAAGCCAGGGGAUGACUUGUGGAUAGGGGUGAAAGGCUAAUCAAGCCUGGUGAUAGCUGGUUCUCCCCGAAAGCUAUUUAGGUAGCGCCUCGGACGAAUACCAUAGGGGGUAGAGCACUGUUUCGGCUAGGGGGUCAUCCCGACUUACCAAACCGAUGCAAACUCCGAAUACCUAUGAGUACUAUCCGGGAGACAGACUGCGGGUGCUAACGUCCGUAGUCAAGAGGAAAACAAUCCAGACCGCCAGCUAAGGCCCCAAAAUCAUAGUUAAGUGGGAAACGAUGUGGGAAGGCAUAGACAGCUAGGAGGUUGGCUUAGAAGCAGCCACCCUUUAAAGAAAGCGUAAUAGCUCACUAGUCGAGUCGGCCUGCGCGGAAGAUGUAACGGGGCUAAAACUAUGUGCCGAAGCUGCGGAUGUAUUUGUAUACGUGGUAGGGGAGCGUUCUGUAAGCCGAUGAAGGUGUGUUGAGAAGCAUGCUGGAGGUAUCAGAAGUGCGAAUGCUGACGUGAGUAACGACAAAACGGGUGAAAAACCCGUUCGCCGAAAGACCAAGGGUUCCAGUCCAACGUUAAUCGGGGCUGGGUGAGUCGACCCCUAAGGCGAGGCCGAAAGGCGUAGUCGAUGGGAAAAUGGUUAAUAUUCCAUUACUUCUGUGUAAUGCGAUGAGAGGACGGAGAAGGCUAAAUCAGCCUGGCGUUGGUUGUCCAGGUGAAAGGAUGUAGGCAUGUAUCUUAGGCAAAUCCGGGGUACUCUAUGCUGAGAUCUGAUAGCAAGCUGUACUUGUACAGCGAAGUGGUUGAUGCCAUGCUUCCAGGAAAAGUCUCUAAGCUUCAGUUACACAGGAAUCGUACCCGAAACCGACACAGGUGGUCAGGUCGAGUAGACCAAGGCGCUUGAGAGAACUCUGCUGAAGGAACUAGGCAAAAUGGUACCGUAACUUCGGGAGAAGGUACGCUGUUGUUGGUGAUGGAACUCGCUUCCUGAGCUGACGACAGCCGCAGAAACCAGGCCGCUGCAACUGUUUAUUAAAAACAUAGCACUCUGCAAACACGAAAGUGGACGUAUAGGGUGUGAUGCCUGCCCGGUGCUGGAAGGUUAAUUGAUGGGGUUAGCGUAAGCGAAGCUCUUGAUCGAAGCCCCAGUAAACGGCGGCCGUAACUAUAACGGUCCUAAGGUAGCGAAAUUCCUUGUCGGGUAAGUUCCGACCUGCACGAAUGGCAUAAUGAUGGCGGCGCUGUCUCCAGCAGAGGCUCAGUGAAAUCGAAAUCGCUGUGAAGAUGCAGUGUACCCGCGGCUAGACGGAAAGACCCCGUGAACCUUUACUGCAGCUUGACACUGAACUUUGACCUUACUUGUGUAGGAUAGGUGGGAGGCUUUGAAGCUGGAACGCUAGUUCCAGUGGAGCCGUCCUUGAAAUACCACCCUGGUAAUGUUGAGGUUCUAACUCUGUCCCGUGAUCCGGGACGAGGACCGUGUCUGGUGGGUAGUUUGACUGGGGCGGUCUCCUCCUAAAGAGUAACGGAGGAGUACGAAGGUGCGCUCAGCGUGGUCGGAAAUCACGCGUAGAGUAUAAAGGCAAAAGCGCGCUUAACUGCGAGACCCACAAGUCGAGCAGGUACGAAAGUAGGUCUUAGUGAUCCGGUGGUUCUGUAUGGAAGGGCCAUCGCUCAACGGAUAAAAGGUACUCUGGGGAUAACAGGCUGAUACCGCCCAAGAGUUCAUAUCGACGGCGGUGUUUGGCACCUCGAUGUCGGCUCAUCUCAUCCUGGGGCUGAAGCAGGUCCCAAGGGUAUGGCUGUUCGCCAUUUAAAGAGGUACGCGAGCUGGGUUUAGAACGUCGUGAGACAGUUCGGUCCCUAUCUACCGUGGGCGCUGGAAAUUUGAGAGGAUCUGCUCCUAGUACGAGAGGACCAGAGUGGACGAACCUCUGGUGUACCGGUUGUGACGCCAGUCGCAUCGCCGGGUAGCUAUGUUCGGAAGGGAUAACCGCUGAAAGCAUCUAAGCGGGAAGCCUACCUCAAGAUAAGAUUUCCCUAGGACUUUAUGUCCUCUAAAGAGCCGUUCGAGACUAGGACGUUGAUAGGUUGGAUGUGGAAGCAUAGUGAUAUGUGAAGCUGACCAAUACUAAUUGCUCGUGAGGCUUGACUAU
rnacentral:rRNA from 1 species